AAGAUCUAAAAGAUAAAAUUACAUGAACUAACGCAUUUGUUGCUGUUUGGCUGCGCCUCCCUCCUCCCAGACCUUUUAUCUAAUGUUUUAGUUUGCUUUUCGUUGUCCCAUUAUGUUUGGACUUCUCUGUAACUAUAUUUUUUUUGGGUAUGACGUCUUUGCCUUUUCCCUUAAUUGAAAUCAAAGUUUCUGACCCAAAAAAAAAAAAAACAAACAAACAAAAAACCAAACUAGUGUAAUGCAUGGAUAUUGAAGAAAAACUCAUAAUCUAAUUUUCGCAAAAUAUAUAAAGAAAGAGAAGAUGAAGACAAAAGAAGAGAAAAGAAGCAAGAAGAAGCAUAUUAGAGAGACUAUGAGAGAGAGGGAGAGAUGAAUAUCUAGAGAAGAGAAGAAUAACCCAUGGAGAAUAUAGCAAAGAAGAACCCUAAGGAGAAGACAAUGAAAAGAGCGUACAAAGCCUGUUUUCUUUUUCAUUAGCCUUAUAAUUAAGCGUGUAUUAUCUAAAUAGAAAAGUUGAUAGCGGUCCAAAAAUCCAACUAGUUGGGUCUAGUCCUCGAAUUAUUGUUUAUUGAUACAAGUCUUUUGAUUAGUUUGCCACGUAGAUUACAU
rnacentral:lncRNA from 1 species